GCCUGGGUGGCUCAGUCGGUUAAGCGUCUGACUUUGGCUCAGGUCAUGAUCUCACGGUUUGUGAGUUCGAGACUUGUGUCAGGCU
rnacentral:tRNA from 1 species